rnacentral:rRNA from 1 species
UACGUAGGGUGCGAGCGUUAAUCGGAAUUACUGGGCGUAAAGCGUGCGCAGGCGGUUUUGUAAGUCUGACGUGAAAUCCCCGGGCUUAACCUGGGAAUUGCGUUGGAGACUGCAAGGCUGGAGUCUGGCAGAGGGGGGUAGAAUUCCACGUGUAGCAGUGAAAUGCGUAGAGAUGUGGAGGAACACCGAUGGCGAAGGCAGCCCCCUGGGUCAAGACUGACGCUCAUGCACGAAAGCGUGGGGAGCAAACAGGAUUAGAGUACCCGUGAUGAGU